rnacentral:rRNA from 1 species
UACGAAGGGGGCUAGCGUUGCUCGGAAUCACUGGGCGUAAAGCGCACGUAGGCGGGCCUUUAAGUCAGGGGUGAAAUCCUGGAGCUCAACUCCAGAACUGCCUUUGAUACUGAGGAUCUCGAGUCCGGGAGAGGUGAGUGGAACUCCGAGUGUAGAGGUGAAAUUCGUAGAUAUUCGGAAGAACACCGGUGGCGAAGGCGGCAUCCUGGACCGGUAUUGACGCUGAUGAGCGAAAGCCAGGGGAGCAAACGGG